GUGUCAGCCGCCGCGGUAAUACGUAGGGGGCAAGCGUUAUCCGGAUUUAUUGGGCGUAAAGCGCGCGCAGGCGGUUCAUUAAGUUAGGUGUUCAAGGCAACGGCUCAACCGUUGUACGCACCUAAAACUGGUGGGCUUGAGUGCAGAAGAGGAGAGUGGAAUUCCUGGUGUAGCGGUGGAAUGCGUAGAUAUCAGGAGGAACACCAGUGGCGAAGGCGACUCUCUGGUCUGUAACUGACGCUGAGGCGCGAAAGCGUGGGGAGCAAACAGGAUUAGAUACCCUGGUAGUCCACGCCGUAAACGAUGAGUGCUAGGUGUCGGAGACUUCCCGUCUUCGGUGCCGAAGGUAACCCAUUAAGCACUCCGCCUGGGGAGUACGGCCGCAAGGCUGAA
rnacentral:rRNA from 1 species